rnacentral:lncRNA from 1 species
AGUGGGAAACCUACACAGAGGCUGGAACUCACUAUGGACUGAAUUGUGCAGGCCAGGAAAGAGAGAUGGAAGAUUUCAGUCCUCUUUACUAAAGCUACCCAAAGAGAUAAAAGCACGUUGGCAAAAUGUGAGAUGCUGUGAUUGUAAUUGAUGACACAAAGGAAGGAGAGACAAGAAGCAGCAUUUAGGUGCAUAAUUUGUGGUGCUCAAGUCCCAAAAGUGAGCUGCAGCUGGCUUGGUACCACUGCCAAACACUGAGUUAAACACCAAAAUGCAGUUGUCUCACUGAGAUGCCUUGGUGUGUUACAUCCUGCACAUGCUUGUCUUUCUCCACUGCACAAUGGAGAAGUGAGAAGCACGCACUGGUUUCAAGACUGGUGUUUUGUUGACUACAUAGCCUUACAGAAAGCUCCAAAAAAUUUGCAGACAAAUUUACUUUCCCUGUGUGUAAUAGGUCACUAUGGUAACUUGUUUCUGACUUACUGCAGUAGUCCUCUGUUGGAGGAAAGUCAACAAGCUCACAUUUGUUUCUAGUGAUCAAUGUAAAAAACCUUGUUGAGACUGAGUCUGUCUGAUGCAUUAGCAACUUUUUACCAAUCCAAAACCUAUGGAUUUGUGCAUCUCCAGCUCUUCAGGAGUCCCCACACAAGCAGUCCUGCACCACAUAGUGCUGUCAUCAUGUGGGUGUGGAGAUGCUGAAGCAGGUUUCAUCUAUUCACCAGCAACAGCAGUGGCAGUGGUCACUGGAGCUGCUGGGUGCUGACAUGGUCAUGACUACUACAGCCCCUUGUUCCCUGGUAAGUCGUGGGGAUUUGUGAGGCAAUGGGCACAGACACAGCAUGUGCACUUCAGGUCACCACAGAAAAAACUUGGUUAUCUAAAAGAGAUUUAGCAAUGUACAGUGUGUAAGUAAAUCACAGAUGUGCAUACAAAGGCUACUAGCUCAGACAUGACCUGCAAGGACUCCACAGCACUCCAGCACAUCUUUUAUUUCCUUUAUUGUUUAGUUCACUAAGUUGUACUGUGAUUCACUUCAAGAACAAUGGAAAUAGGGCUACCUGCAUGAGCUCUCUCUUAUUUUUAUGUUUCCUGGAAAUGUCUAGAAAGCAAUGAAAUUGAUGCUUUAAUAUGCAUGGAAAUUUAUGAAAACAACAGGAUUUCAUUUCCUAACAUAAUUGCUGAAUUGAUUUGCGUAUGCAGUGAACUGCUCUGAUUUUCUUAGUGGCAAUAAUAAAGCAGUGUCUGCAGUAAUUUAGCA